AUUGAACGCUGGCGGCAUGCCUUACACAUGCAAGUCGAACGGCAGCAUGGAGAGCUUGCUCUCUGAUGGCGAGUGGCGAACGGGUGAGUAAAGCAUCGGAACGUACCGUGUAGUGGGGGAUAACGUAGCGAAAGUUACGCUAAUACCGCAUACGCACCGAGGUGGAAAGCAGGGGAUCGUAAGACCUUGCGCUAUACGAGCGGCCGAUGUCAGAUUAGCUAGUUGGUAGGGUAAAGGCCUACCAAGGCGACGAUCUGUAGCGGGUCUGAGAGGAUGAUCCGCCACACUGGGACUGAGACACGGCCCAGACUCCUACGGGAGGCAGCAGUGGGGAAUUUUGGACAAUGGGCGAAAGCCUGAUCCAGCCAUUCCGCGUGCAGGAUGAAGGCCCUCGGGUUGUAAACUGCUUUUGUACGGAACGAAACGGCUCCGGCUAAUACCUGGAGCUAAUGACGGUACCGUAAGAAUAAGCACCGGCUAACUACGUGCCAGCCGCCGCCGUAA
rnacentral:rRNA from 1 species